rnacentral:rRNA from 1 species
GACGAACCGUCCAAACGUUAUUCGGAAUCACUGGGCUUACAGAGUUCGUAGGCGGUCCAAAAAGUUAGGUGUGAAAUCCCUCGGCUCAACCGAGGAACUGCGCUUAAAACUGUUGGACUCGAGGGAGAUAGAGGAAAGCGGAACUGAUGGUGGAGCGGUGAAAUGCGUUGAUAUCAUCAGGAACACCGGAGGCGAAGGCGGCUUACUGGGGCCUUUCUGACGCUGAGGAACGAAAGCCAGGGGAGCGAACGGG